UGGGGAAUAUUGCACAAUGGGGGAAACCCUGAUGCAGCGACGCCGCGUGAGCGAAGAAGUAUUUCGGUAUGUAAAGCUCUAUCAGCAGGGAAGAAAAUGACGGUACCUGACUAAGAAGCCCCGGCUAACUACGUGCCAGCAGCCGCGGUAAUACGUAGGGGGCAAGCGUUAUCCGGAUUUACUGGGUGUAAAGGGAGCGUAGACGGGACAGCAAGUCUGAUGUGAAAGGCGGGGGCUCAACCCCCGGACUGCAUUGGAAACUGCUGGCCUGGAGUACCGGAGGGGUAAGCGGAAUUCCUAGUGUAGCGGUGAAAUGCGUAGAUAUUAGGAGGAACACCGGUGGCGAAGGCGGCUUACUGGACGGUAACUGACGUUGAGGCUCGAAAGCGUGGGGAGCAAACA
rnacentral:rRNA from 1 species